rnacentral:rRNA from 1 species
AGCUCCAAUAGCGUAUAUUAAAGUUGUUGCAGUUAAAAAGCUCGUAGUUAGAUUUCUGAUGGGAGGGAUCAGUCUAGCACUCAGUGUUGGAACUUGUAUCCUCUCCGGCCAUCCUUGGGUGGAUCUUGUCUAGCAUUAAGUUGUCAGUCAGGGGAUGCCCAUCGUUUACUGUAAAAAAUUAGAGUGUUCAAAGCAGGCUUAUGCCAUUGAAUAUAUUAGCAUGGAAUAAUAAGAUAUGGCCCUGGUGCUAUUUUGUUGGUUUGCGUACCGAGGUAAUGAUUGGUAGGGACUGUUGCGGGUAUUUGUAUUCAGUAUUCAGUGGUGAAAUACUUAGACCUACGGAAGACAAACUACUGCAAAAACAUUUACAAAGGAUGUUUUCA